ACGGUCCUAAGGUAGCGAAAUUCCUUGUCGGGUAAGUUCCGACCUGCACGAAUGGCAUAAUAAUGGCCACACUGUCUCCUCCCGAGACUCAGUGAAAUUGAAAUGUUUGUGAUGAUGCAAUCUCCCCGCGGCUAGACGGAAAGACCCCAUGAACCUUAACUGUAGCUUUGCAUUGGACUUUGAACCGAUCUGUGUAGGAUAGGCGGGAGGCUUUGAAGAAUGGACGCCAGUUCAUUCGGAGCCGUCGUUGAAAUACCGCCCUGAUUUGUUUGAGGUUCUAACCUGGGCCAGUAAUCCUGGCUGGGGACCGUGCAUGGUGGGCAGUUUGACUGGGGCGGUCUCCUCCUAAAGGGUAACGGAGGAGUGCGAAGGUACGCUAAUCACGGUCGGAAAUCGUGAGGAUACUGCAAUGGGAAAAGCGUGCCUGACUGCGAGACAGACAAGUCGAGCAGAUGCGAAAGCAGGUCAUAGUGAUCCGGUGGCUUCUGUAUGGAAGGGCCAUCGCUCAACGGAUAAAAGGUACUCUGGGGAUAACAGGCUGAUACCGCCCAAGAGUUCAUAUCGACGGCGGUGUUUGGCACCUCGAUGUCGGCUCAUCUCAUCCUGGGGCUGUAGCCGGUCCCAAGGGUAUGGCUGUUCGCCAUUUAAAGAGGUACGUGAGCUGGGUUUAAAACGUCGUGAGACAGUUUGGUCCCUAUCUACCGCGGGCGCUGGAAGAUUGACAGGGGCUGCUCCUAGUACGAGAGGACCGGAGUGGACGCACCUCUGGUGUAUCGGUUGUGACGCCAGUCGCAUUGCCGAGUAGCUAUGUGCGGAAGAGAUAACCGCUGAAAGCAUCUAAGCGGGAAACUUGCCUGAAGAUUAGUCUUCCCGGAGGCUUGACCUCCCUGAAGGGUCGUCCGAGACCAGGACGUUGAUAGGCCAGGUGUGGAAGCGCUGUGAGGCGUGAAGCUAACUGGUACUAAUUGCCCGUGCGGCUUGAUCCU
rnacentral:rRNA from 1 species